rnacentral:tRNA from 1 species
GUGAUUGUGGCUCAGUGGUGGAGUGCUUGCCUAGCACACACGAGGCACUGAGUUCCAUCCUCAGGCACCACA